rnacentral:miRNA from 1 species
CCGACAAGCGUGCUCUCUCUCGUU